rnacentral:rRNA from 1 species
GCCAGACUCCUACGGGAGGCAGCAGUGGGGGAUAUUGCACAAUGGGGGGAACCCUGAUGCAGCGACGCCGCGUGAGUGAAGAAGUAUUUCGGUAUGUAAAGCUCUAUCAGCAGGGAAGAAGAAAGACGGUACCUGAGUAAGAAGCCCCGGCUAACUACGUGCCAGCAGCCGCGGUAAUACGUAGGGGGCAAGCGUUAUCCGGAUUUACUGGGUGUAAAGGGAGCGUAGACGGUAUGGCAAGUCUGAAGUGAAAGCCCCGGGCUCAACCUGGGAAUUGCUUUGGAAACUGUUAAACUAGAGUGCUGGAGAGGCAGGCGGAAUUCCUAGUGUAGCGGUGAAAUGCGUAGAUAUUAGGAGGAACACCAGUGGCGAAGGCGGCCUGCUGGACAGUAACUGACGUUGAGGCUCGAAAGCGUGGGGAGCAAACAGGAUUAGAUACCCUAUUAGUC